GGGGCUGAUUCUGGAUUCGACGGGAUUUGCGAAACCCAAGGUGCAUGCCGAGGGGCGGUUGGCCUCGUAAAAAGCCGCAAAAAAAUAGUCGCAAACGACGAAAACUACGCUUUAGCAGCUUAAUAACCUGCUUAGAGCCCUCUCUCCCUAGCCUCCGCUCUUAGGACGGGGAUCAAGAUAGGUCAAACCCAAAAGAGAUCGCGCGGAUGCCCUGCCUGGGGUUGAAGCGUUAAAACUAAUCAGGCUAGUCUGGUAGUGGCGUGUCCGUCCGCAGGUGCCAGGCGAAUGUAAAGACUGACUAAGCAUGUAGUACCGAGGAUGUAGGAAUUUCGGACGCGGGUUCAACUCCCGCCAGCUCCACCA
rnacentral:tmRNA from 1 species